UUUUAAGGGUGAGCAAAGAAAGUGGUUUCUUCGGGUGGAAUCUGCUCCCGGUGAAGAAGCUGUGAA
rnacentral:pre_miRNA from 1 species